UUGAUCACCGGUAUUUAUCCUUUGUCAGACGAAUCGACGGUGUGAAAACCGAUAAUACUGUUUGUGUUUUGCCUUGCUAAGUGGAUGAGCUAAUUUCUCACAACUCACCCCCAUUAGGCUACUAAUUCACGCCAAUCCUUUCAUCAUGCGACUGUGAUGGAGACACAGGGACUCAGGAGCUUCAAGACUGUCAGGGAUAAAGUGAACGAACUCUUCAAACGCCAACAGUAAAAUUAGCUUUAUGCUGCAAAAUAGCCUACUUAGAAUUGGCUAAGCCUAAACAAAUAAACUAUUCUUGUGGAAUUUGUUAGAUAUUAGGAUGUGUUGUGGAAUUUGUUAGAUAUUAGGUUGUGUUGUGGAAUUUGUUAGAUAUUAGGUUGUGUUGUGGAAUUGUUUUGAUAUUAGGUUGUGUUGUGGAAUUUGUUAGAUAUUAGGAUGUGUUGUGGAAUUUGUUAGAUAUUAGGUUGUGUUGUGGAAUUUGUUAGAUAUUAGGUUGUGUUGUGGAAUUUGUUAGAUAUUAGGUUGUGUUGUGGAAUUUGUUAGAUAUUAGGUUGUGUUGUGGAAUUGUUUUGAUAUUAGGUUGUGUUGUGGAAUUUGUUAGAUAUUAGGUUGUGUUGUGGAAUUUGUUAGAUAUUAGGUUGUGUUGUGGAAUUUGUUAGAUAUUAGGUUGUGUUGUGGAAUUGUUUUGAUAUUAGGUUUUGUUGUGGAAUUGUUUUGAUAUCACCUGUUAGAUACUGCUGCCCUGUUAAUGAUUGUUAAUAGGUCUAAAAAAGUUGGUUGAAAACACACUUCCACUUACGAGCUUCGGUGGCUCUGGAAUGAAUCAGGUCUCUGCACACUUAGGGAUAUGGCUGGGUGAGAAACCGUCUUUUAAAAUGCAUAUUGACCAACUUCGGUGGCUCUGGAAUGAAUCAGGUCUCUGCACACUUAGGGAUAUGGCUCUGGAAUGAAUCAGGUCUCUGCACACUUAGGGAUAUGGCUCUGGAAUGAAUCAGGUCUCUGCACACUUAGGGAUAUGGCUCUGGAAUGAAUCAGGUCUCUGCACACUUAGGGAUAUGGCUCUGGAAUGAAUCAGGUCUCUGCACACUUAGGGAUAUGGCUCUGGAAUGAAUCAGGUCUCUGCACACUUAGGGAUAUGGCUCUGGAAUGAAUCAGGUCUCUGCACACUUAGGGAUAUGGCUCUGGAAUGAAUCAGGUCUCUGCACACUUAGGGAUAUGGCUCUGGAAUGAAUCAGGUCUCUGCACACUUAGGGAUAUGGCUCUGGAAUGAAUCAGGUCUCU